UACGUAGGGGGCUAGCGUUGUCCGGAAUCAUUGGGCGUAAAGCGCGCGUAGGCGGCCCGGUAAGUCCGCUGUGAAAGUCAAAGGCUCAACCUUUGAAUGUCAGCGGAUACUGCCGGGCUAGAGUCCGGAAGAGGCGAGUGGAACUCCUGGUGUAGCGGUGGAAUGCGCAGAUAUCAGGAGGAACACCGGUGGCGAAGGCGGAUCUCUGGGCCAUUACUGACGCUGAGGAGCGAAAGCGUGGGGAGCGAACAGG
rnacentral:rRNA from 1 species